rnacentral:rRNA from 1 species
GAACUUAAGCAUAUCAAUAAGCGGAGGAAAAGAAACUAACAAGGAUUCCCCUAGUAACUGCGAGUGAAGCGGGAAGAGCUCAAAUUUAAAAUCUGGCAGCCUGAUGGGCUUGUCCGAGUUGUAAUCUAGAGAAGUGUCUUCCGCGCUGGGACCGUGUACAAGUCUCUUGGAAUGGAGCAUCAUAGAGGGUGAGAAUCCCGUCUCUGACACGGAAUUUACCGGUGCUUUUGUGAUGCGCUCUCGAAGAGUCGAGUUGUUUGGGAAUGCAGCUCAAAAUGGGUGGUAAAUUCCAUCUAAAGCUAAAUACAGGCGAGAGACCGAUAGCGAACAAGUACCGUGAGGGAAAGAUGAAAAGGACUUUGAAAAGAGAGUUAAACAUUACGUGAAAUUAUUGAAAGGGAAACGAUUCAAGUCAGUCGCAUUAGCCAGUAAUCAACCCUCGCAAUUAACCUUGCUGGGCUUACUUUCUGGUUGAUGGGUCAGCAUCAAUUUUGACCGUCAGAGAAAGGCUUUGCGGGGAAUGUGACAUCUUCGGAUGUGUUAUAGCCCCAACUCGCAUGUGAUGGUCGGGAUUGAGGAACUCAGCACGCCUUUACAGGUCAGGGCCGCCAGAAUGGCUCAUGUAAACGUAGCUUAGGAUGCUGGCAUAAUGGCUUGAACCGACCCGUCUUGAAACACGGACCAAGGAGUCUAACAUGCCUGCGAGUGUUUGGGUGGAAAACCCGAGCGCGAAGUGAAAGUGAACUUGGUUGAGAUCCCUGUCGUGGGGAGCACCGACGCCCGGACCAGACCUUCUGUGACGGAUCUGCGGUAGAGCAUGCAUGUUGGGACCCGAAA